GUUUGAUCCUGGCUCAGGAUGAACGCUAGCGGCAGGCUUAAUACAUGCAAGUCGAACGGGAUUCGGGGUAGCAAUACUUUGAUGAGAGUGGCGCACGGGUGCGUAACGCGUAUGCAACCUACCUUUAACAGGGGAAUAGCCCCGAGAAAUCGGGAUUAAUACUCCGUAACAUUGCGGUGUGGCAUCACACUGCAAUUAAAGAUUUAUCGGUUAAAGAUGGGCAUGCGUGACAUUAGCUAGUUGGUGAGGUAACGGCUCACCAAGGCAACGAUGUCUAGGGGUCCUGAGAGGGUUAUCCCCCACACUGGUACUGAGACACGGACCAGACUCCUACGGGAGGCAGCAGUAAGGAAUAUUGGUCAAUGGGCGCAAGCCUGAACCAGCCAUGCCGCGUGCAGGAAGACGGCCCUAUGGGUUGUAAACUGCUUUUAUCAGGGAAUAAACCCCCGCUCGUGAGCGGGGCUGAAGGUACCUGAAGAAUAAGCAUCGGCUAACUCCGUGCCAGCAGCCGCGGUAAUACGGAGGAUGCAAGCGUUAUCCGGAUUCAUUGGGUUUAAAGGGUGCGCAGGCGGAUUGGUAAGUCAGGGGUGAAAUCCCACAGCUCAACUGUGGAACUGCCUUUGAUACUGUCAGUCUAGAGUAUAGUUGAAGUUGGCGGAAUGUGUCAUGUAGCGGUGAAAUGCUUAGAUAUGACACAGAACACCGAUCGCGAAGGCAGCUAGCUAAGCUAUAACUGACGCUCAUGCACGAAAGCGUGGGGAUCAAACAGGAUUAGAUACCCUGGUAGUCCACGCUGUAAACGAUGAUUACUCGAUGUUGGCGAUACACAGUCAGCGUCUGAGCGAAAGCAAUAAGUAAUCCACCUGGGGAGUACGAUCGCAAGAUUGAAACUCAAGGAAUUGACGGGGGCCCGCACAAGCGGAGGA
rnacentral:rRNA from 1 species